UACGUGGGGUGCAAGCGUUGUCCGGAAUUAUUGGGCGUAAAGAGCUCGUAGGCGGUCUGUUGCGUCCGCUGUGAAAACUCGGGGCUUAACCCCGAGCCUGCAGUGGAUACGGGCAGACUAGAGGUAGGUAGGGGAGAAUGGAAUUCCCGGUGUAGCGGUGAAAUGCGCAGAUAUCGGGAGGAACACCGGUGGCGAAGGCGGUUCUCUGGGCCUUACCUGACGCUGAGGAGCGAAGGCGUGGGGAGCGAACAGG
rnacentral:rRNA from 1 species